GAUGAACGCUGGCGGCGUGCCUAAUACAUGCAAGUCGAGCGAACGGACGAGAAGCUUGCUUCUCUGAUAUUAGCGGCGGACGGGUGAGUAACACCUGGAUAACCUACCGAUAAGACUGGGAUAACUUCGGGAAACCUGAUCUAAUACCGGAUGAUAUUGUGAACCGCAUGGUUCAAAAGUGAAAGACGGUCUUGCUGUCACUUAUAGAUGGAUCCUCGCUGCAUUAGCUAGUUGGUAAGGUAACGGCUUACCAAGGCAACGAUGCAUAGCCGACCUGAGAGGGUGAUCGGCCACACUGGAACUGAGACACGGUCCAGACUCCUACGGGAGGCAGCAGUAGGGAAUCUUCGGCAAUGGGCGAAAGCCUGACGCAGCCACGCCGCGUGCGUGAUGAAGGUCUUCGGAUCGUAAACCGCUGUUAUUAGGGAAGAAAACCUCUGUACGUAACCGCGCACAUCUUGACGGUACCUAAUCAGAAAGCAACGGCUAACUACGUG
rnacentral:rRNA from 1 species